AGGCCUAACACAUGCAAGUCGAACGGUAGCACAGAGAGCUUGCUCUCGGGUGACGAGUGGCGGACGGGUGAUUAAUGUCUGGGAAACUGCCUGAUGGAGGGGGAUAACUACUGGAAACGGUAGCUAAUACCGCAUAACGUCGCAAGACCAAAGAGGGGGACCUUCGGGCCUCUUGCCAUCAGAUGUGCCCAGAUGGGAUUAGCUAGUAGGUGGGGUAACGGCUCACCUAGGCGACGAUCCCUAGCUGGUCUGAGAGGAUGACCAGCCACACUGGAACUGAGACACGGUCCAGACUCCUACGGGAGGCAGCAGUGGGGAAUAUUGCACAAUGGGCGCCAGCCUGAUG
rnacentral:rRNA from 1 species